UGCAAAAAAAAAUUUAUAUAAAUAAAUUUUUUAUGAUUUAUAUAAUUUUUUUUAAAUUUAUUUUACAUAUAAAUUUUAGUGUGUAAUUUUAAUUAUUUUAAUAAUAAUUAAUUUUAAAAAGUAGUAAUUAACAUUAAAAAUUUAAGAAAUUAAGAUUUAGUAAUAUAAAAAUUAAUAACAAAUUUUGUGCCAGCAGUUGCGGUUAUACAAAAGUUAAAUUAAAUUUUAUUAGAUAUUAAUAAAUAAUUUAAAUAUUAAUUUAAAUAUAAAAUUAUUAAGUGAAAUUUUAAUUUAAUUAAAAAUUAAAAUUUAAUUAUGAAUUAAUAAAUUUUAUUAUAAACUAGGAUUAGAUACCCUAUUAUUAAAAAUUUAAAUAAAUAUACUAAAAUAGUAGAUAAUUAUUUAUUGAAACUUAAAUAAUUUGGCGGUAUUUUAGUUCAUUUAGAGGAAUCUGUUUAUUAAUUGAUAAUCCACGAAUAAUUUUACUUAAUUAAAAAUUUUGUAUAUCGUUGUUAAAAAAAUAUUUUUAAAAAAUUUUAAUAUUUUAAAAUUUAGAAUUAAAACUAAAUCAGAUCAAGAUGCAGAUUAUAAUUAAGAAUAUAAUGGAUUACAAUAAAUUUAUUUAUAUGAAUAUUUAGUUGAAAAAUUAAAUUGAAAGUGGAUUUAAAUGUAAUUUUAUUUAAUUUAAUAAAAUGAUUAAAAAUUAAAAUAUGUACAUAUUGCCCGUCGCUUUCAUUUAUAAAUUGAAAUAAGUCGUAACAAAGUAGAGGUACUGGAAAGUGUUUCUAGAAAGAA
rnacentral:ncRNA from 1 species